ACCAAAACAAAACAAAAAACAAAAUAAAAAAGAAAAAGAAAAGAAAAGAAAACUUCUCUCCUUAUUGAUGUUGGGCUUUGACCAGAUGAAAUUUGUGUACCACAGUGCAAGCUUCAAGCAAGCCAUCACGGAAGGGGUACGGAGAACCGAGAGGAACAGACUGACAACACCUCCGACUCACAUACUGAGAGCCUCCGUGGCAAAUCUGUGACACCGGUUCUGAGCUGUCUGACCUACAGUUCCUUUCCUAUCUUGAGGCUGCAGGAUCACCCUGCAGGGACAGCAGGCUGGCCUCAGCCAUUGCAAUGAGGAGGGAAAAGUCAGGACCUGUGAUGUAAGGCAAUUGAGCAGAGAGCAGCACUGGGUGAUGUGGUGGUUGGUCUCUGGGUGGUGAGGGAUGAUGGGAGGAAGGGUGCAAGGUUGCUCCAGCUCUCGGUAGCGAAGGGUUGAUUUAAGUCUGUAAACAUCCAUGGAGAAUUCCCAGAAGUAUGUAGGGAGGAGAAUCUGAUAAAAGGCUGUCCUCCCUGAAGAGAAACAAGUUGUUUAUUGAAGUUAGUUAUGACUUCAUAGACUGAUGACAUUUGGGGCAUUUGAAACACACGGGCUGCUUCUGCCGUAUUUGUGAGAAGGCAUUAAUCUUCGGUGAGUACUAUCAUACCUAAACAUCAUAUUUUGUGACUUAGCUGUCCCCCUACAUUUAUUUAUUUUAUGUGGGUACAUUCGUGCAUGCUUGUGUAUCAUGACACUUGGAUGGAGAUCUGAGAAUAACUGUGGUACUCUGUUCCCUCCUUCCGUUAUGUAGGAUAGAGCUAAGUUUAUGCGACUUGGUGGCAAGAGCCUUUAUCUUCUGAGCCGUCCUGCUGGCCAUUUUUUGAAUGGGGUGUUUUUGAGACAGUCUCAUGCUAUAGCCCGUGCUGGCCUCCAGUUUGUGAUUCUCCUACUUCAGCCUCCUGAGGGCUAUGGUUUCAGGGUAUAACACCAUUGCCUACUUUCUGAUGUGCCUUAAUGUACAGCAGAUGAGUGCUCUAAAUUCUCUCUCUUUUCUCCCUCCCCCCUACCCAUCUCUUAUUGCAAAUUUAUUUUUCUCCUCUUCCCACAAAGUCUUUCUUUAGCAAAAUCUUUCGCUAGAAGAGGAAAAGAUGAAAAGAGGUGGAGAGAUGACUUAAGCUUGUGUUGACUUUUGGACAGUUCAACUAUUAACAGAAUCUCAUGGUUUCAAUGGGACAGACAGAGUGUCGUGGUCAACAUGAGAAUACAAGAUGGAGAAUACACAAAUGUUUUAGCCAGUGGCAUGGAGCCUCCAGGAAACUGGACUUCCCUUCUCACCCCACCCAAUCAACUGUAUUGAUUUCCCUCUCCAGGCUUGCUUGCUUCUCUGAGACCCAGGAUAAUGGUUGCAGUACUGAAAAACUGGGAGGCAUCUGCUCUGAGUUGGUUCUAGCAACUUUUAAAGUAGGCAAACUUCUUUUCCUCUCCUGAUGCUAAAAUGUGUUCUUUUCUCUUUAUGGAUCUCUUAUGUCUUGCCUCAUCUCACUGACACCCCCCUUUCUUACCUCCUCAGGAUCAACACCUGUUCUUAGGGAAAAAGCAGACUUCAACUUCAAUAAAAAAGAUCAUCAGGCUCGGUGCCUAAUCUAGACAAAAGUGAGUAAGCACAUCAUUAUAAGUGAUGAGCGCUAUGUUUACAAGAUGCUAGUGCAAUCCGCCACUGGGUUCCAAACACGCCCCGUGCGCGACAAGUCAUUUUACCUUUCC